rnacentral:rRNA from 1 species
UUAGUAACGCGUGGGAACGUGCCCAGAUCUAAGGAAUAGCCACUGGAAACGGUGAGUAAUACCUUAUACGCCCUUCGGGGGAAAGAUUUAUCGGAUUUGGAUCGGCCCGCGUUAGAUUAGGUAGUUGGUGGGGUAAUGGCCUACCAAGCCUACGAUCUAUAGCUGGUUUUAGAGGAUGAUCAGCAACACUGGGACUGAGACACGGCCCAGACUCCUACGGGAGGCAGCAGUGGGGAAUCUUGGACAAUGGGGGCAACCCUGAUCCAGCCAUGCCGCGUGAGUGAUGAAGGCCUUAGGGUCGUAAAGCUCUUUCGCCUGUGAUGAUAAUGACAGUAGCAGGUAAAGAAACCCCGGCUAACUCCGUGCCAGCAGCCGCGGUAAUACGGAGGGGGUUAGCGUUGUUCGGAAUUACUGGGCGUAAAGCGCGCGUAGGCGGAUUAGUCAGUUAGAGGUGAAAUCCCAGGGCUCAACCCUGGAACUGCCUUUAAUACUGCUAGUCUU